rnacentral:lncRNA from 12 species
GCGCACUGGGGGGUUACUGGUCUGAACUGGGGGGUCACUGGGAGGUCACUGCUCUGAACUGGUGCAUGCUGGGGGGGUCACUGGGAGAUCACUGGUCCAAACUGGGAGGUCACUGGUCCAAACUGGGAGGUCACUGGUCUGAACUGGUGCAUACUGGGGGGUCACUGGGAGGUCACCAGCUCAAACUGGGAAGUCACUGGUCCCAGCUGGUGCAUACUGGGGGAGGUCACUGGGAUAUCCCCGGCCCGAACUGGUUCUAACUGGGAGGUCACUGGGAUGUCCCUGGUCUGAACUGGGAUCUCCCCGGACC